rfam:Triticum urartu cultivar G1812 contig942590, whole genome shotgun sequence.
CACAUACUCCCUCCGUCCAAAAAAGCUUGUCCCUCAAAUGGAUGUAUCUAGCACCAAGUUAGUGAUAGAUAAAUCCAUUUAAGGAACAAGAUUUUCCGGACGGAGGGAGUAUUUA